ensembl:lncRNA
AGUUGAAAAAACAGGCCUUAUCUUUGUGCAGGUGCGUGACCAUGUAUCCACCCCUCCUCACCGCCAGCUCCAGCCCUGUGUCCUGUGUCUACAGCCGUCGCUCGAUGGCUGCACAGUACCUGUUUUCUACUACCUCGUCCCUUCUAGAAAGGCCCACCUCUCUUGGAUGACGCUAACAGCGCCAGGUUCUCGUUUUCUUAAUGUAUUUUCAGGUAAUGGUACGAGCACGACCCAGUUCCGGUCAGUGAGGGAGAAGCCUGCUGGGGUGCAGUCAGAGAGGCUUGGAUGAGGAGACACCGCUUCCUCUCCCGUGUUCUGCGCUGCGGUGCCAGGACGUGACAUUUGGGCUUGUUGUAGUCAACUUAAUACCAGGAGACCACCAACCAGAGGUCGAAAAUCCAAGGUGUUGAGAAUAUCAGAGCAAAAGGAUGGAAAGAGCCUGGGCCCCGGGGGCCAUCGCUGAACUGCUGCACCAAGUCUUGGACGCCAAAGGUCAGACUGAUGGCAGCCUCAACCACUCAGAACAUACAUGGGAGAAAGGCGAUGAGAGAGGCUUGAAGCUGGAGACGGCCGAAGACUUUAUUCUGCAGGAGAGGCAGAAUCGCCCUCAGGCAGUUUCUCAGAACAACCGUGUGUAACGGAGCAGAUGAUCUGACCACAGCAGGACUCACUGACUGUGGCGGGGUAGGGGAUGGGACCGGACAGCAGAGGGAGGAGACGGAGAACUCUGGAGAGCAGAAUAAUUGCGUUUGAAUUCUCCCUCGUUCUUCAGCACAAUGACCUGAUCCGUUUGGUUCAGGAGUAAACAGCCGCAAGGGCUACAGUAGCCUUCGGGGGCACCGUGUAACCAGCACCAUAGCUGAUGAUCGUGAUGCUCCCGCUCAAACGCGCAUAGCCUUUCUGUUUUCUUAAACCCAAUUCUUUACAUUAUGUGCAACACUUUGUCAGGUCAACACAAAAUCCCUGUGGAGGGUGCAUCUUUACCUGUCUAACGGGGUCAUAUCGACAUUCACCUGAAACUGACAAAAUAUUGUCAAUCAACUACACUUCAGUAAGAAACGAAUCAUCUGGAGCAUUUGUUAAAACACAGAUUGCUGUUCCCAUUGUGGCUCUGCGGAAAUGACCCUGACCGGUAUCCACGAGGAUGUGGGUUUGAUCCCUGGCCUCGCUCAGUGGAUGAGAGAUCCAGCACUGCCGAGAGCUGUGGUGUAGGUCACAGACAAGUCUCGGAUCUGGUAUUGCUGUGGCUGUGAUGUAGUACCUGCCGCUUCAAUUCAAGCCCUGCCUGGGAACUUCCAUCUACCACAGGUGCGGCCCGAAAAGCAAAAACAACCCCACCCCCACACAAAACAGAGGUUUCCGGACUGCACCUCUAGAGUUUCUGACUUUGUAGCUGUAUGGUGGGCCCCACUCUGCCUUCUUAACCAGGUCCCACAUGCCGAUGCUGCUGCUGGUCCAGCGCCACACUCUGAGAGCCUCUGCCCUGCGGAUCUAUAUUGUCUCUGUUUUACCUGGGAUUUCAGAGAAGUUGUGUCACUUAACCAAGGUCACGCGGGUGGCAGAUUGGAGACUCCAAUUUAGAUCUUCUGAGAAUGAGCCAUAGCUCUUUCAAACUAUGUGCUGUUGUUUCAGAUUUCUCACUUGAUAAUUAAGAGAGGGUUUAAUACAUUUUAGAUUUUCAUCAAAAUACCUGCAGUUCAAAACCUUGACAUUCUGGCUGGUAUCAAAAAGACAGGAGGCGGCAAAUGCUGGUGAGCAUGUGGAGAAAAGUGUGUACUGUUGGGGGAAUGUAAAUUGGUGCAGCCACUGUUGAAAACAGUACAGGAGGCUCCUCAAAACAUUAAAAACAGCACUGUCCUAUGAUCCAGCAAUCACACUUCUGGGUGUUUACAGGAAGGAAAUGAAAACAGGAUCUUGAAGAGGUGUCUGCAUCCAUAUGUUCAUUGCAGGGUGAUUCACAAAAGCCAAAAUGUGGAAACAGCCUAACUGACCAUCCGCAAAUGAAAGGAUUAAGAUGUGAUUUCAUACACACACGCAUAUAUAUAUAUAUGUGUAUAUAUAUAUAUGUGUGUGUGUGUGUGUAUAUAUAUAUAUGUGUGUGUGUGUGUGUAUAUAUAUAUAUAUGUGUGUGUGUGUAUAUAUAUAUGUGUGUGUGUGUAUAUAUAUAUAUGUGUGUGUAUGUGUGUGUGUAUAUGUUUCAGUCAUGAGAAAGAAGGACAUCCUUCCAAUUGUGGCAACAUGAAAUCUUGAAGGCCUUUUGCUAAAGUGAAAUAAAUCAGGCAGAGAAAAACAAACACUACAUGAUCUUACUUAGAUGUGGAAUCUUUUUUUUUUUUUUUUUUGCUAUUUCUUGG